UGAAAUCCAUCUUUUGGGAUCUAGAAGCACUCUUGAUGAAGCCUCCAAAAAAUAAAAAGAUAGGACCUGAAACUCUUCUUGGGCAGCCAAGAGGGUGCGCUAAAAAUAGGGGUGUGCAUAAAGGGGGGUGCAGGUUUCUAGCACCUCCUUUCUUUCCUUUUUGGGGUGGCAGUCAAGAAACCCUAGGUUUCUUGGUUCUAAGGCAUGGAGAAGACCAAAGAGUGAGAG
rnacentral:lncRNA from 1 species